rnacentral:rRNA from 1 species
GAUGAACGCUGGCGGCGUGCCUAAUACAUGCAAGUCGAGCGAACAGAUGAGGAGCUUGCUCCUCUGACGUUAGCGGCGGACGGGUGAGUAACACGUGGAUAACCUACCUAUAAGACUGGGAUAACUUCGGGAAACCGGAGAUAACACCGGAUAAUAUAUUGAACCGCAUGGUUCAAUAGUGAAAGACGGAUUUGAUGUCACUUAUAGAUGGAUCCGCGCCGCAUUAGCUAGUUGGUAAGGUAACGGCUUACCAAGGCAACGAUGCGUAGCCGACCUGAGAGGGUGAUCAGCCACACUGGAACUGAGACACGGUCCAGACUCCUACGGGAGGCAGCAGUAGGGAAUCUUCCGCAAUGGGCGAAAGCCUGACGAAGCAACGCCGCGUGAGUGAUGAAGGUCUUCGGAUCGUAAAACUCUUUUAGUAGGGAAGAACAAAUGUGUAAGUAACUAUUCACGUCUUGACGGUACCUAAUCAGAAAGCCACGGCUAACUACGUG